AAGGGUAUAGCUCAAGUGGUAGAGCACAUGCUUAGCAUGCACAAGGUCCUGGGUUCAAUCCUCAGUACCUUCA
rnacentral:tRNA from 1 species